CCUACGGGAGGCAGCAGUAGGGAAUAUUGCUCAAUGGGGGAAACCCUGAAGCAGCAACGCCGCGUGGAGGAUGAAGGUUUUAGGAUUGUAAACUCCUUUUGGGAGAGAAGAUAAUGACGGUAGCCAACGAAUAAGCACCGGCUAACUCCGUGCCAGCAGCCGCGGGAAUACGGAGGGUGCAAGCGUUACUCGGAAUCACUGGGCGUAAAGAGUGCGCAGGCGGGCUUGUAAGUCAGAUGUGAAAUCCUGUAGCUUAACUACAGAACUGCAUUUGAAACUAUGAGUCUAGAGUGUGGGAGAGGUAGGUGGAAUUCUUGGUGUAGGGGUAAAAUCCGUAGAUAUCAAGAGGAAUACUCAUUGCGAAGGCGACCUACUGGAACAUUACUGACGCUCAUGCACGAAAGCGUGGGGAGCAAACAGGAUUAGAUACCCUUGUAGU
rnacentral:rRNA from 1 species